CGGGACUCCUGACGCCUUCGCCUAACUUUCCUUAGUACCUUCCCUAGUUUCCUGCUGCCUUCUCUUUCGUGUGAGUAGUUGACCUCCCUGGUUUUUCCUUGUUUUCCACUUUGUGCCUUCCUGUUGUCCUUUUAGCUCCCCUGUGACCUUUUCUUUUUGCCUUUGUCUUUGCCAGGGACCAGCCCCCCCCCCCCCCCCGGACCAGGAGUAGAAGUUCUGCUAUGAUGUUAUAUUUGCUGGUGAGACGGAAAGCCAGGGAGCCAAUUUACAGCAGAUCAAUCAGCAGGGGGCCGCCGGGACAUCUGGGAUAAUCCCAUAAAGCUUUAUUGCAGCGCUAAGUGCUGCUUCACUCCGUCACUGCUGACGCCACUGUGGUGUUGACCACUUCAGGGUCCUGGACCAAUACCCUCUAUGUGGAAUUGCAUGAAAUCCAUCUGAUGAUUUAUGUCAAGAUUGUCAUGACUUCAUGAUGUGCAUCAAUCAUCAAAAAUCAUUCCAAGGGCUCUCCCGGCCGGCCCCUGUGACCUCUGCCGGGCAGGGGGCGCUCGUUUCACCUCCUUCCCUCUCCCAGACGACGGUGGAGGAGGCGGCGGCGUUCUGUUUGGACGGCAGACGGCAGCGAGGGGGGUUCUUUUGGUCGCCUGGACUGAAGGACUGAGAGAUUGCGGCGCCGCCUCUGGUCAGACCCCAACCGUGACGGGAGCCCAACUUCCGCCGCCCCCUGGAGCCAGAGUGUGGGACGGGGUCGCCGGGAAGAGAUAUGUCUGCAAGGGAAUGGACCGGAGGUCUUCUCAGAGGGCGUGGAGAACCUGGAGCGCUGCAAGGAUCUGCAAGGUCACCAUUUGAUCAUUUGACUUCUUUCAUUUACUUUAGGCGAGCAGCCCAAACAUGGUGACGGCGGCGAGCCAGUGUGGCUAGCCAUGUGAAAAGCAGACGUCAGCGUGCGUCCCUCACCGCGCUCAGGCGUGUCCGACGGGGAUUGGCCGCCGUCGGCCAGGUUCUCCACGCUUCCGGCGGCCGUGACGAGGCCGCGUCCAUCUCGCGCUCCCCCCCGAGGUUUGAUGAGCUUCUUCAUGCGGUCGGCAAUCCAGUUGGAUUUCCUGCAAGGCCACCGUGGAGCCAAGAGUUAGCGAAGGCAGCACGCAGCCGGGGCCAACAGGCCAACAGGAAAGGCUUCCUUCUAAACAGCCGUACCCUGGUUGUCAUGGCAACACGCUGUGAAACAGGCUGACUUGAGCGUAAACGAACCAUAGCCUCUUAACAGUUGGAUCAGGAGUCUACCUCUGGGGGGGGGCAAACUUUUUCACAUUGAUUUCCCAAAACUGUCCGGGGGGGGCAGACUAUACUCACACAGGAGUUGAAUCCUGUGACCGAGUGCGCCGGGAAGGACCAAUGGUCUUUGGCGUGUCGAGGUGUGGUAGGCUCCGCUCCACGUGCAGCGCUUUCAGCAAACAAAAUGGCCGCUCGCCCACCCCCAUGUUAUGGACUUAGAACAAUUGUCUCAUCUGUGACUGUGUUUGAGUGUGAUACUGCAGGGGUCCCCAACCGCCAGGCCGGGUACCGGUACCGGUCCGUGGUACAUUUGCUCCCGGGCCGCACAGAAAUAAUAAUUUCUUCGGGACUCACCGUCUCCAUCCCACCUCCAUCCCACCUCCAUGGACCAUCUGGUCUCAACCAAGCUCGGGCCUCCCCCCGAGUCUAUUUUUAUUUAGCCCCGUCGUUGUUUUAUAUUUGCUGUAUUUUCCUGCCACACAUUGCCGGUACGUGAAAAAAAGGUUGGGGACCCCGUGAUACUGCAUGUACUGCAUGUACUGCAUAUACUGCAUAGUGUAUAGUGUCAAGUACUUGGCCUUCCAAGGUGAAGGUGGCACAUUCGGCUCCAGAACUCGGUACUGGUCCAUAAUCUUCUCUACCAGCUUCUGCUUCUCCCGACGGAGCUCGCUCAGCUUCUCCCUGGAGGAGAAGACAAACACUUGCUGUGAGCGGACGGAGGCGUCCUAUCGGCAACGGAUGUCCAGCUGCUCUCAGGCCAGCAGGAGAAGACAUGAAGGUCUACUGUCUCUGUGGUGAAGCUUGCUUAGCAUCAUUCAUUCCUUCCAGAAGGUCCUGCUCAGACUGACACGGAGGUGGACACGUGGAUGCCGACCGAGUCCAGAAAAAAAGGCUCCAGAGUGCCGCGGGUGUUUUAUACUUUUGCUGGCAGUAGACUACUGGAAAUGUGUACAAGUACAAGUACGUGUACAAGUACAAGUACAAGUACAAUCCUCACCAUUCACCCUUUCAACUGACACUCGCUUUGCCAACAUCUGAAGAAUCAGUCGUGGUCUUCAUGGUUGAAUGUUGGUAGUCAAUCACAUCAAGAUACUUUUCAAAUAAAUACCUUCCAUAAUCCAAGUAGUAGUACUGCAUGGGAAGUAUCCUGUGUACGGAUGCUUAAUGUAAAGGGGGCCCUCUGCUGGCCCUUAGCAUGAAGCGCAUGUUUCUACCCUUGAAUGAAAGAAUGACAGCUGCUCUCCUCACAGCCGCUGGCUACCAUCAACACAGGAAAUGCAGGAAAUAGCAAGUAAGUAA